UACGGAGGGUGCAAGCGUUAAUCGGAAUUACUGGGCGUAAAGCGCGCGCAGGCGGAUGCACGCGUCCCGCGUGAAAUCGCCCGGCUCAACCGGGCGGGGUCGCGGGAUACGGUGCGUCUGGAGCACGGGAGGGGGCAGUGGAAUUCCCGGUGUAGUGGUGGAAUGCGUAGAGAUCGGGAGGAACACCAGUGGCGAAGGCGACUGCCUGGACCGUGGCUGACGCUGAGGCGCGAAAGCGUGGGGAGCGAUCCGG
rnacentral:rRNA from 1 species